rnacentral:lncRNA from 1 species
UGCUGUUUUAUUACGUCGCUGGAAAGAAAAUUGGCACAACACAGUGAGGUCAAUUCUAUAGUAAUAUUAUUUUUUUUAGUUUUGUUUAUCAUUUAUUAUGAAUUUUUAUUGUCCCCAUUAGUUUGGUAUGCAUAGAAUCCAGUAGCUUUUGGAUUUUUUUAGGGCAUCAUAUGAGGAACUUCAUUCGAUUCCUCAUCAGCA